CGGGCUGGGACCCAGAGGGGCGCAGGGGGGCUGGGGCCAUGCUGAGCCCCGGCCCUUCGGCACAGCUGUGCCCUAGCCCAGCCGAGGCCCAGGGAGGCGGAUGCAGGAUCUCGGGCUGGUGCCUGCCGUGCUGUGGGGGCAGCAGCCACAGCACAGCCGAGAAUCUCUUUCUGCCCCCCCCCCGCCCUGCCACCUGCUGCGGGGGCACCACCGAUGGGGCCAAAGGAACCUGCCUUGUUCCCGUUUCAGUAGAGUCAGACCAAGCCCCCCAGGGUCCCUCUGCCCAGCGUAACACCAACAGACCCCGCUCCUCUUCAGGCGGGAUCGGACCUGGGACCUCUGGAGCUUCGUGCACGAACCUCUACAGCAGUGGUCCUUGACCUUUACUGCAGCCUGCACCCCUUUGGUUCACCAGCUGUGUUCUCACCCCCCUCAUCAAAAAUCACUGAAGUAGGGGUCUCAGGGCCACCAGCCGAGACAGAACCCCACACCCAGAAGGCACAUGGGUCUCACCAGCACCCCAGGAGCUGAGCGCCUGAUCGAUCGGGCGCCUGGGCCAGGAGCCCCAGCGGAUCACACGCUAGCGUGGCACGCAGCAGAGCUGGGUUUUGGCGGCAGGGCUCGCUGCCCGACCUUGGGCACAGCACAUCCCUGCUCUGCCCUCAUUUCCAGAGGCGGAAGCUGAACGUUACCAACCUGCUGCGUAAUGCGCUUUGAGAUCUGCCCCCGAAAGGCACCUGCUAAGAGCUGGGACGUGCCCUCUCCCUUUGACAGAUGAGGAACUGGGCCAAGGAGGCUGCAGCAGAGCUGCGAACUCAGCUGGGAAGUGGGAGAAGGGCUCAGGGCCUUCACCCCUGCUCGCCCCCAGCUUAGUGCUGCAGUUUGCACAGGUUCAAGUCUGUUUUGCAUUCAUUGCGCUGACAUGGCGCUGUCCCUGCGUGAGGACGUCAUGGACUAGGCUGAAGGUGCACCGGCCCUGUCCUGCAGAGUAGCACAGGGUGGAGACGAGCUCAGUGGAAAUGCGCUGACGGCAGCCACGUAACCAGCUGACAGACCCUUCUCAGCCACUUGUCUCCAUUAACUGAAAGCAGGGACAAGCCUCAUCAGCCCCCUCAGCGUGUAGCAGUUAAGCAACCAGAAGGCUCGCAUGGAGCCGCGUUCCCAGCUCAACCCAGACUCAGGCCAGAGCACGAGAGGUGCUACCUGCAGCAUUCCCGCCUCUCAACAGCAGCAAGCAAUGAGCAGAAAAGGGCAGAGAUGAAGUAAAAAUGAGAACAAAAUCCCCAGCAAACACGACAGCAGAGAUGUGAAAGCCAGGCGCAGCGGCUGCACCAGGAGCAGAUUCCAAAUCCCAAGCUGAGUGGCAGGAAGGGAACUGGGUCUGACAGAAGCCCAGCACAGCUGCAGUUACCAAUAUAGAGCACCCUGGACAUGAGCUAUGCUUACCCCAGGCCUUCAUGUGUAAGCAAGAGGGGAUGCAGCUCAGUGUAGCAAAGGGGGUGUCUGGAUGCUGAAAGCUGCCAUGAGGUUGUAGGGUGCAGUAUUGGAGUGAUGGGGCUUGUGAAUCACCAGGACUGUUAGCUCAGUGAGGUCUCCCUGGGGACGAAAGUUGAAGGGUCCAACGUGUAGCUGGAUGGACAUACAUACCAGUGUCUGUAGGACUAGGCACUGGUGUCCAUGGACUUAGCCAUGGCCAAGAGAAAUAUGAUUAAAUCCAGUCUGCCUGGCUCCCAGACCACCCUCUGGCCAAUGGCUCCCGGCUCCAGGGGAAGUGUAAGUGUUCGUGUUCAGAAAAUGACACAUUUUUACAGCAAGUAGAGAAAGGGGACAAGGCUCGAUAUAAAUCUCUCUUUACUUUGGAAAGGCAAUGUCCAGCUCUCGAGGACUUGGAAGCCCCACAAAUACAGCAAGCCAGACAGCAUCUAUAGUAGAAACAUGGUAGCAAUUUUAUAAACCUCAAAUCAAAAGAGUGUGGGGAGUCUACAUAAAAAGACCUGCAAAUCCUCCCCAGAGAAAGCAGCUUCUCACUCUCCCCUCAACAGAGGCCACCAGGGCACCGUUCUCAAUCACUGGACACCGGCUUGCUUUGCAACUCUACGUCCUGCGCGACUAUCUCAGCUGGCUAGUGGCUCGGUCCCAAGGCAUUAAACAGUCCCGUUCUCAGCAGCACACACUGUUAAGGGCUUGAUACCCAAAGCUGCCAGCAUCCUACUACAUCGGCUCAGCUGCAUUUAAUGUGAUAUUACAAAUGGAGCUGGAGAAAGGGUGCAAAGGGCUGAGCGUCUAGUUCCACACAGAACACAAGGGCGGCCUUGUGUUGGACAUUGCGAAACCACAAUCACCCUCCAAGCUUGGUCAACAGGAGGGGAAAGGCAGAUCGGCUUCCUGGGAAGCAGCGUCCGGAGGCUGCCUGGCUGCAGGGAAAGCAGAUCUGUUUGCCACGCUGCAGCUGGCUCCUAUUGAAAGGCUCAGCAAAACAGAAAUCAAGGAAAACGUUUGACUCCCCGCACCCCAAAAGAAACUUCUAGAACAAAAGUUCAUGCCCAGGAGGGAGAAACUAAAAAAAAGGAAUGACCAGGCUCAGCAACUUUACAAUGGACCAAGAUUCCUGCUCCUAGCUAGUUAAAAAAGGAAAUAAAAACCAAAGCAUGAAUUAAAAAGGCAACUUACAAAUCUCAUUACCAAAGAAAAGUGUAAAAUGUCAGCAUCUGAAGGGUUUAAAAAACAAAAACAAAACAGAACAGGAAUUUGGAGAGGCAGGCAGGGCCUGAGACCUCAAGCUCAGCGUGAGCCUCCAGGGAGCGCUGCAUCCCAGAUGCAGCUCCGAAGGCUUUGCGCAGGGUGGGACCAGGAACCAGGCAGAUCCGGAGUCCCACGGCGUAACUAGAACUCUGUACGUGUAUCCGAAUCGCCACCCCCUAGAUCGCCACCUCUGCGCUACCAGAACUUCCAUGCUCACGUUACGGUGAGCAGAAGGCACCUGCUGGAGUCGGUUCCAUUCCUGUCUCUGAAGCAGCAGUUUAAGGCAGGGAACAUGCAUCUCCCUAGGACUUACUGUCCUCACUCAGGACUGUGUGUAGAUUCCCAGUUACUGCAAUCAGACUACAGCAUGACUCCAACAGGUUCUGCCUUGUGGGCCACGAAACACAGGGAGGCCCCGAGAGCAGCAGUGACAGGGGCCACAGGGGUGAGCUUUGUCCUUACCCCGUACAGUAUGUUUUCCGAGCACUUGCCUCUGCUCUGGCUGCCCGUGAUGCAGAGAGGUGCUGGUUCUGGAGCAGGGGGUAACUGGAAGGGCCCAUCCUCCGGCAGGAAGCCCGUGGGGCUUCCCACCCCACUCAGAGAAGCCAAGUCUUUCACACACAUGUAAAAACCUCAAAAUCAAGACUAACGUUAAAAAAAGUUUGUACAGAUUUACACGUGGAGGGGACAAUAGUGCUUCAGCAGGGAA